AUGGGAGCAGAGCCAGGGGAGGGGGCUGGCGCUGGCCGCCACAGCCCCAUAGGAGCAACCGCAUAUGGCCAGCCAGGCUCGGCAGCCCGUGCGCUAAUCCUGCUGUCAGCCAGGCCGGGUGCCGGAUUAGGAAAUGUCACGUUUCAAAGGAAAUUAUUUCCAUUUUCUCCCCAGGAAGGGAAAAGGCAGAAAGACAAGCAAACUCCCGGGGUCGCGUGUUGGGAGACAGGCCAGCAUCUGGGCCUUAGACAGGCACCUCUCCUCCUCCUCCAACCCCCUCUGCAGACGCCCAGAAAAGUGACAGCAAUCGCCUGGCUGAGUUCAUCCUGGCCAAGGACAAAUGGAUUUCACAGUUUAUCAAGGGAAGAAGGGGCGUGUCAGCGGCUCAUCAACCAUGACCCACCUCUGGUCUCUGCCACCCCUGCACCGGUCACAGCCGCAACUUCACGCCUGACCCCGCUCGCUCAGCUGGCUCUUGGGCCUGGCUUCCUGGGAUCAGCAAGUCUGAGAGAGCCCUCCCCGGGGUCACAGGGCGGCCCUGGAACCCCCGGGAUUGCUACCCCCUCCCUGUCUGCUUUCCCUCGCACCGCGUGCCUCCUCCUGCCCAAAUCAAGCCGGGGACCACGGGCUCAGGAUGUGUGGGUUUUGUUGCCAUCUGUGUCACACAUUCGGCAGAGUGUAGCCAUCCAUGUGUACGUGUCUGUAUGAACCACUGAAAGACCAGGCACCCACCGGCGUCCCUGCCACCUAAUUGAGCCACAGAACAGAAUUCAGGUUGCGUACACUCCUGCAUCACCCUGCACUUGGCCAUUGGCUUUGUCCCCUGGCUUUGCUCACUGCUGGGCCACUGUGUGUGUGUGUGUGUGUGUGUGUGUGUGUGUGUGUCUAAGGGACUGCCUGUGCUUGCAUAGCCAGGUCUGUGCUCGCUACUCCGCUUUUCAAAACUAACCAGGGUGUGUGAUCUCUUCAACGCUUAGCACUGUUGUGUUCAAGUUUUCCCAAAGCAGUGAACUCUGAACAGACGCCUCUUAUGAAACCAGGCCACAGAAACGUACAGAAUCCACCCGUCAAAGAGCAGCAGCUCCCUCCUAAAAGCCACUUUAUUUUAGGCACUGACUUAAUGGUGUACAAAUGACAUGCACAGCGAUGCGGAAUUAGCAUAUGUCUUGAAUUCUUUUUUUUCCAGGAAAGGAUUUUGUAUGUGUGUGGAAAAGUCAACGGCUUGUCCUUUUCUCCCGGAGCGGUUACCAUUCCAGCUGCUCCAGACCAGGGACUUCCCUUGUGUUUGGAGGCAGAAGAGGCCCCAGGAGGGUGCGAGAAGCAACAGGCUCAGGGGGUCCCCCAGACCCUUCCUCUCCCCCCGCCCCAGGCAGCCCUCACUACCCUCUGGCCCACAGCUGCCCUCGCCCAGGGACCUGGUGGCAGACAGCGGCAGACCUACUUUGGUUUCCAUGGCAACCGCAGGCAUCGGGAGGCCGGGCGAGCAUGCCGCAGCCAGCAAGGCAGCUGGGUUUGAAGGGUGUUGAUCUCUCUGCGGACCAGCAAGGCAGAACCACGGGGGAGCAGAGGCGGCAGCCACACCAGCAGCAGCCACAGGAGCUGGGCAUAGGAAGUACACGGGGCCCUGGGUGCAGGGCCCCGCCACCCUCCCCCACCCAGACGGAGACAUGCUAACCAAGGCACCCACCCCCAGGCUCCCCUGGGGAACCCCAGCUCAGACCUAGGCUCAUGCCAAAUCCAUCCCCCACGGUUCACCUGGGCCCGUUUUCACACAAAUGCAGACCCCUGCCAAGAACUGCUCAUCCACACACACGACGUGGAGAUCCACAUUCACCCCCACACGCGUUCUCCAGACACACUCACCCCUGCACACACACACACAGCACAGGCAGUACACACAGUACACUCGCCUUAUCCCCACACACACUCCAUACUCACAUGCACAGCCCCAGACCCCCCACACACACACACACACAGACUUGAAGGUGGGGGGCCCAAGCUCUCCGACACGACUCCGACACCAGCUUGUGGCUCCAUCUGUGGCUGGAACCGAAUCCAAGCAUCCCAGCGCCAGCCCCCGGCUGGCCACCUCGUGAGCCACGCCCACCAUGGAGGGGCCUUGCGUCUUCUCCGUUUAUUUACUCUGCAGUUCUCCGGCGUGGCCUCCAUAAAUGCCAAGAGGAUGAGAAGUCCACAACCCUCGUGCCGUUCGGACUAGAAAUAAAACCUGCGAUGGCGGCA
ensembl:lncRNA